rnacentral:rRNA from 1 species
CAGUAGCCACGGUAAUACAGAGGGUGCGAGCGUUAAUCGGAUUUACUGGGCGUAAAGCGUGCGUAGGCGGCUUUUUAAGUCGGAUGUGAAAUCCCUGAGCUUAACUUAGGAAUUGCAUUCGAUACUGGGAAGCUAGAGUAUGGGAGAGGAUGGUAGAAUUCCAGGUGUAGCGGUGAAAUGCGUAGAGAUCUGGAGGAAUACCGAUGGCGAAGGCAGCCAUCUGGCCUAAUACUGACGCUGAGGUACGAAAGCAUGGGGAGCAAACAGGAUUAGAGACCCGCGUAGUCCCUGUCUCUUAUAC